rnacentral:tRNA from 1 species
AUUUAGGUAGCUUAAAUAAAGCACAUCCCUGAAGAGGAUAUAAUGAGCUAUCUCCCUAAAUA